rnacentral:rRNA from 1 species
UACGAAUGGAGCGAGCGUUGUUCGGAAUCACUGGGCGUAAAGCGUAUGUAGGCGGAACAGAAAGUCAGAAGUGAAAUCCCGAGGCUCAACCUCGGAAUUGCUUUUGAAACUCCUGUUCUCGAGUCCCGGAGGGGCCAGCGGAAUUCCGAGUGUAGAGGUGAAAUUCGUAGAUAUUCGGAAGAACACCAGUGGCGAAGGCGGCUCACUGGCUCGAUACUGACGCUGAGGUGCGAAAGUGUGGGGAGCAAACAGG